UACGAAGGGGGGCGAGCGUUUGUUCGGAAUUACUGGGCGUAAAGGGCGCGCAGGCGGCCCUUGAAGUCAGGCGUGAAAGCCCCGGGCUCAACCUGGGAGGUGCGCUUGAUACUCGAGGGCUUGAGUGCGGGAGAGGAGAGUGGAAUUCCCAGUGUAGAGGUGAAAUUCGUAGAUAUUGGGAAGAACACCGGUGGCGAAGGCGGCUCUCUGGACCGUAACUGACGCUGAGGCGCGAAAAGCGUGGGGAGCAAACAGG
rnacentral:rRNA from 1 species